rnacentral:lncRNA from 1 species
AUACAUAUAUCUCCCAUAUAUACAUAUAUAUGCAGAAAUAGAGAGAGGCGGUAACCUUGUCAAGAAAAGUGGAAGGCUUGGAGGAAUUUCUGAUGGUAGUAGUACCAUUAUGAUUACUAAAUGUUUGGUCGAACGAUUUUUCAGUUUGAGGAGUCUUCUUCUUCUUAUUCUGCCUCUUCCCUCUUUUCCGUUUACGACUUGAACCAUUUUCUUCUUUCAUCAAUCUCUCUCUUAGUAAGGUUUAAUGGAGUUUUUAUUUUGGUAAAUCUGUUGAGCUUUCCAACCCCCAAAAGAGCAGAGGAAUAAACAAUACAACAGAGUAGGUCACAACAGGUGGACGAUAUAUCAAUGGCCCAAUUUCGUCUUUUGGGUCAGUAUUCUUUAUUAAUUCGGGUUUCAUUGGUUUGCUAGAAUUUAAGUCCUCCUGUAGGCAGAGCUACUUGUGAUAGAAAAAGAAAUUACAGAAUGUUAUCAAGAGAUUCAAGAGAAAUUCGCAGAGACAUGCUUCGGAGAAUAAUACAGGCGCAGAGAUCCAAAUACUGGAUGAUGGUAACCAAACCUUCAUACCAAGGUAACCAAACUGUCAUAUCAAAGUAACCAAUCAACCUCUACACUUUAAUUUUUUUUUUAGUACAGUUGGUUACCAAACCUUCAGAUCAAGGUAAACAAACCUUCGUACCAAGGUAACAAAACCUUCAUACCAAAGUAACUAAUUCACAUCCACACCUACAGUUUUUUCAUAGUGCAGUUGGUAGCCAAAUCUUCAGACCAAGGUAACCAAUUCAAUUUUAUUAAGUUACCAAUUUCGUUUGAAUGUGAUGCAGUUGGUAGCCAACCAUUCAUACAAAGGUAACCAUUUUAUUAUUUAUGAGUAACAAAAUAGUUAUAAAAAAAAAUCAGUACAUUAAUAGUUAUAUAUAUUUAUUUUUAAACUUUUUGUAGGGCGAAUCUUCUUCUUAUUCUCAUUGGCGUUUUGGACAAUGAAGAUUCUCGGCGGUGUAUCGACGGUGUAGCGGUGAACUAUUAUUUCAAAGUGUAUGUGAGGGAGAUGAAGAUUUGAAUUUGAAUAUUUAAAUUUGAAUUUGAAUUUAUUUUUGUUGUUAGAUCCAAAUAUUUGAAUUUGAAUUAUUAAUUAUGUAAGACCCCAACUUAUUAUAAAUAAAAUAGAAUUUCCUCUAAUUAUUAUUGUGAAUAAUAAGGUAUUAAUUUGAUAUAAUUCUCUGGUUAUGGGUGAAAUAUGAAAAUUUUGCAAAAUAUGCAAGUGGUUAUAAAAUAAUCAUUGUUGUCAGGGAAUAUUCAUUUGUUCGUGGAAUAUUCUUGUUGUCGGG